rnacentral:rRNA from 1 species
AUGGAGCGGCCCGGGGCGUCCUCCUCCUCGUCCGGCCGCUCGUCCGGCUCUCCCUGCCUCCGCCCCGUCAAGCCGGAGCCCCAGGACACGCCUGUCAGCGCGCGCACCCGCAGCUCCGGCGUCCGCAUCGGCGACUCCACCCCCCCUCCGGCUGCUUCGUCCUCGUCGAGCCCAAGCCGGAGCCCGGCCUCCCCCCGGAGUACGAGGAGAUAG